GACGAACGCUGGCGGCGUGCUUAACACAUGCAAGUCGAACGAAGUGGCGAACGGGUGAGUAACGCGUAAUCAACCUGCCCUUCAGAGGGGGACAACAGUUGGAAACGACUGCUAAUACCGCAUACUGAAGGAGGGGAUUGCGUCUGAUUAGCUAGUUGGAGGGGUAACGGCCCACCAAGGCAAUGAUCAGUAGCCGGUCGGAGAGGAUGAACGGCCAAAUUGGGACUGAGAAACGGCCCAGACUCGUACGGGAGGCAGCAGUGGGGAAGCUUCCGCAAUGGAGGAAAGUCUGACGGAGCAACGCCGCGUUAGUGAUGACGGCCUUCGGGGUGUAAAGCUCUGUUAAGCGGGAGGCGUUACAGGAAGAGAAAGCCACGGCUAACUACGUGCCAGCCGCCGGGGUAAAUC
rnacentral:rRNA from 1 species